rnacentral:lncRNA from 1 species
GCAGCAGAAAGUAAAGGCUGUGACACUGAAUUGGGAGUCUUGAAAAUGAGUUCUGUUUUCGGCUCUGCAGGUACUAUCCCAUGGGGACCAGAUGGCACGUUACAUGCAAAAGCCAAGAACUGAAACUUUAAGACCCCCUGUUUAUAGCGGAAAAGAAAUUUGUGAGGCCUGGCUACUCUUUGCAUAGGUGUAAGUUUAUACAACAGCAGUUAUCCCUUGUGUCCAUCCCUGUCUCUGUCU